AGAGUUUGAUUCUGGCUCAGGAUGAACGCUAGCUACAGGCUUAACACAUGCAAGUCGAGGGGCAUCAUGGAGUUUGCUUGCAAACUCUGAUGGCGACCGGCGCACGGGUGAGUAACGCGUAUCCAACCUUCCCUAUAGUAGAGGAUAGCCCGGCGAAAGUCGGAUUAAUACUCUAUGUUUUCCGUUGCAGACAUCUAAGAUGGAACAAAGGCUUGCCGCUAUAGGAUGGGGGAUGCGUCUGAUUAGGUAGUCGGCGGGGUAACGGCCCACCGAGCCAUCGAUCAGUAGGGUUCUGAGAGGAAGGUCCCCCACAUUGGAACUGAGACACGGUCCAAACUCCUACGGGAGGCAGCAGUGAGGAAUAUUGGUCAAUGGGCGAGAGCCUGAACCAGCCAAGUAGCCGUGCAGGACGACGGCCCUAUGGGUUGUAAACUGCUUUUAUGCGGGGAUAAAGUUCACUACGUGUAGUGUUUUGUAGGUACCGCAUGAAUAAGGACCGGCUAAUUCCGUGCCAGCCGCCGC
rnacentral:rRNA from 1 species